rnacentral:tRNA from 1 species
AUUUUAUUAGCUUAUAAUUAAAGCAUUAUAUUGAAGAUAUAAAUAAAACUUUAAAAGUUAUAAAAUA